rnacentral:lncRNA from 1 species
GAUGAAGGAGGUUAUUCCAUGUUCCUGAUGAAGGAGGUUAUUCCAUGUUCCUGAUGAAGGAGGUUAUUCCAUGUUCCUGAUGAAUGAGGUUAUUCCAUGUUCCUGAUGAAGGAGGUUAUUCCAUGUUCCUGAUAAAUUAGGUUAUUCCAUGUUCUUGAUGAAUGAGGUUAUUCCAUGUUCCUGAUAAAUGAGGUUAUUCCAUGUUCCUGAUAAAUGAGGUUAUUCCAUGUUCCUGAUAAAUGAGGUUAUUCCAUGUUCCUGAUAAAUGAGGUUAUUCCAUUUUCCUGAUAAAUGAGGUUAUUCAGUGUUCCUGAUAAAUUAGGUUAUUCCAUGUUCCUGAUAAAUGAGAUUAUUCCAUUUCCUGACAAAUUAGGUUAUUCUACGUUCCUGAUAAAUGAGGUUAUUCUAUGUUCCUGAUAAAUGAGAUUAUUCAAUUUCCUGACAAAUUAGGUUAUUCUACGUUCCUGAUAAAGGAGGUUAUUCCACGUUCCUGAUAAAUGAGGUUAUUCUAUGUUCCUGAUAAAGGAGAAUAUUCUGUUUUCCUCAUAAAUGCGGUUAUUCUGUUUUCCUGUUAAAUUAGGUUAUACCAUGUUCCUGAUAAAUUAGGUUAUUCCACGUUCCUGUUAAUGAGAUUAUUCCAUGUUCCUGAUAAAUUCGAUUAUUCUGUGUUCCUGAUAAGUGAGGCUAUUCCAUGUUCCUGAUAAAUGAAGUUACUCCAUUUCCUGAUAAAUGAGGUUAUUCAGUCUUCCUGAUAAAUGAGGUUGCAAUUCGACAUGAUUGAUCAGUUGCGUGAACUUGCUUCUUUCUUUAAUGAGAAAUGGAGAAUAGUUUUGCAAAAGCUGAAACAUACUAAAUUAAUAUAGACCUAUUCAAUUGUGAUAUAUAUAUUGAUAUGCGAUUCAUAACACCUUAAAUCAUGAUAUUGAAUAUAGCCUAGUAUGUAGCCUAGACGGUGUAGCAGGCCUAUUGUAAUUGACUGUCUGUAUUAUCUUAGGCUACUUCUAAUCUAUUCACAAACAGUCAUGUUACUUUGCUAAAUGUAAUAGGCUACUGAUGCGAGACAGAGUAAAAUAUUAAGCUUAAGUUAACAAAUAUUGUUGGCGUGUUUUAUUUUCUGUCUGUGGCUUUCAUAUAAACAUAAACUAUUUAAUAAGUCGAACUGAUGAUCGCACGUUAUUUCCCAUAUGGCGGGCUAUAAUAGCAAGCGUUUAGGCUAAAGCUCCUGCAAACCGCCUGUAAAUCAAAGCACGUCCAAUGAAUUGAUCCCCAUAUUCUUCACCGAUUUCUUUGACGUGAACGGGUGUUGAUUGAUUAUUAGCAUUAGAAUGUAUUAAAGGCCAUGUGCAUCAGUUGUAGAUGCUGUGUAAACAUGUCCCUUUAAAGCAAAUAACGCAGAAUAACUGAUUGUCAAUCGUCGAUCGCAGGCGUGUUCCCUCAGAAUACAUGUUCAAUCAAAGUAUUGCAUAGCCUGCAAUUACUGCCCCUGGACGCUUAAUCUGUCCAUCCGUUUGUUGAAUCUGGUAAAGCAUGUUGGACUCUUCAACCCUCCUGAAGUCGUUUCAUUCAAAGCACGUGUCCGUUUGAAGGUGUGCAAUUGGCUUGUGAGGCAUGUAUGGAAUUCCCAGAUGUCUAUGAAAUUCAAGGCGCCUUUGGUAGGCCCUGUAGGCUAGUGGGAGGUGGUGGAGUAUACAGCCAGCAUAUGUGAAAGUGUCCUAUACACAGCUUGUUUUUAUGGACACAGUCACUGCAGAAUCACAAGAAAAGUUCCAAAACGCAAAAUAGAGUUAUGUGCAAACUAAAAACCUGAAUGCAAAAGAUAAACCUAGUCCUUAGCCUACCUAAGAACACAACUUGCUUAUAUGAACAUCCAAGCUGUUCCAGUUGACAAGCAAAAUAGCUUAAUUUUAAGUCAGAAAAACUCUCUCCAACUCAGAAAUGUAAUACAACUAAGAGCAAGUAUACGUUCCUGUGUUUGCGGAGAGGAGUUGGCAACUGACACGAUGCAGAGAGAGGCACCGAAUGAAACCUAUUUUGAACAGAUGUUAGUAUUUUACAAAAGUCACGUGAAAUGAACAGAUGUUCUUGUGGAACAGGGACUCGCCUUAGUUCGAGAGCAUUCCUCGACAGAAAGGCUUCGAAAUAAGAUCGGAGAGAAGCAAUAGCGUUCUAUUCACAAGAAAAAACGACUAAGCACAUCGUGUGGGUGAUAAUAGAUUACCACGGGCCUCACCUGCGAUGGAACCUCGGCCUAGUCCCAUAGGAAAUCUAGCAAACUAAAAUGGACGGUUCCAACCGCGCAGGAAUUUGCUGGAGAUGGGGCAGGGGCGUUUGUGAAGCAGGUCGUCAACAGGCUGACUCAUCACACAUGGCCCCAGAACCGUGUCCCUCUGCCAAGAUGACACUGCACAGGAUAUAGUCCUCAUCAUCUGCCACCUGGUCAGGUGACCCUGACAACAACAACAACAACAACAACAAGAAACAAACAACAGUUGAUUGGAUGGUGUAAGAGCUAUGAUCCUGACUGCAAGUUUCCAUUGAGGUCCGACUGAAUCUACCAAUGGAUGUCCUGGUGUAUCUGCUUCUGGACUAAACAGGGCUGGAGAGGACCACAGUUCCUCACAACAAAUAGGCCCACAUCAAUGAACUUCUCCAGAUGAGACCGUGUGGAAUACUGAUGUGAUACUCAUACAUGCAAAAUGAUACUACAUGAUAGAAUAGCAUGGAGAACUUUAUGACACAAACAACAGUCAUACUGAAGCUAACAUGGACAAGUUUGCAAUGAUGCAAUAUUUAGGAAUUGAUAUCCACAAAAUAAUGGGUGGAUGAUCACUAGUUACAAAAGUGAAAUUGCACACACUUUCUUUUUAGGAGUAUAUUUAUAGAUGUUAUGUUUUACAAGUAUUUUUUUGAUUAUGGUGUAGUUUGUAAAUACCCAUUUUUGCUUUUCUUGUAUUUAUUUAGAGAAAAUGUAUGUUGGC